UGCAGUUAGAGCUUUCUAGACCAGACUUCCCUUUGUCUGAGUCUUCAGUGCGCCGCUCGACGUCUGCCGUGCAUGACGUGUCCCUUCGAACAUCAGUUGGGGCGCCGCCCUCCGGAGCUCUAGAGUAUCAGGGGAUUCUCAGCUUCUCAGAUACGGGUCCCUGGUGGUGAAACAGCUUCUCCACUCGUCGCCGGAGGCUGCUGAUCCGAGCUUGCAGCCUCCACUCCUGACGAGUUGGAUCCUGACGCCACCAGGGGACCGAGCUCUGCAUCCCGCAGCCUUAGACUUUACAUCAAGGUCUCUCGUGGACAGCAGCGACUUCCAUCUCCGUCUGCUGACCAGCUGCCUCCAGUUCAGCACUGAGGAUACCGGUUCCACCUCUCAUGAGUCGAGUGAGAGAUGAAAUUGAGUGUCCAGUGUCAACUGAAUUGGAUUGCAUUUUCUAAGCCAUUAACAUGCUUUGAACAACAUAACUUGUUAUGUUCUUCCUUGCAUGUUAAUGGCGUUCUGAAAAUGAGUGGUGUGGGUAGUCAUCUUGCUAGGUGACUACGGUAGGCGCAGGUUUGAAAAGCAGUGAACAUGAGGGCCAAUUUUUAAAUCAUCUUUCUUCCAAAAAUUGGUUCUAUGAUCCUGUAGGUUGGAUCUGCGCCGGGUGUAAGAUGUUUAGUUAAUAUUGUGAGAGUAGCAACAUUACAGUAUAAUACUGUAGUGGAGGUACUUCUCACAAGGGGAGGGGAGAAGAGGGGUUCACAAGAGCAUUAGUAAUGUGCGACACAUUACUGGUACUCUUAACACUCUCAUUUAGUUUUAAGUUCGUCAACACUCUUCUCCUCUCUUUUAUUAUUUUUUAUAUAUAAUGGGUAUGGUUCUUAUUAAUAAAAUCACAACAUCUACACAACAUUUAUAGGGUAAGUUAAUGAUCUCUCUCAAUCUCCACCUAGUUCAUAAGAGUUUUUGCGUACUGUGAAAUAAAAAUUAGUUAUAGGAA
rnacentral:lncRNA from 1 species